rnacentral:rRNA from 1 species
UACGGGGGGAGCAAGCGUUGUUCGGAUUUACUGGGCGUAAAGCGUGCGCAGGCGGUUUUGUAAGUCAGAUGUGAAAUCCCCGGGCUUAACCUGGGAACUGCGUUUGAAACUACAAGGCUAGAGUGUGGCAGGGGGGGGUGGAAUUCCACGUGUAGCAGUGAAAUGCGUAGAGAUGUGGAGGAACACCGAUGGCGAAGGCAGCCCCCUGGGUUAACACUGACGCUCAGGCACGAAAGCGUGGGGAGCAAACAGG